GUCCAACGGCCGUAGUACCUCGAACUAUUACAAAGGCCGGCCAAGCAGUGUAUUGAACGUCAGGUCCAGUAACUGUAUAAGCCCAAGAUCCAGUGUCUUUGUUUUAAACCUCAAUAAAAUAGACCGAGUUUUACAAAACCGAGUCGUUUAACGACGUAAUCUAUAGAAAAACACGAAAAAAAAACACUUAAGAUGUUAAACAUCGUAACUCGAUUUGACUGUAAGCAAAAUCAAUUGAAUGUAAGGACCUACAAAAAUUUGACUAUAAUAAAGGUAUUCAAGUCCAAAUAUGAACCGAAAUAGUCUUAACUCUUAUACGUCUUGUACACAACCUCUUCACGGG
rnacentral:rRNA from 1 species